UUCUCUAGCCCUCCAUUCGUAAUGAGCAACAGUCCCAAAAUUACUCUCUUAUUUUCUUCUGUGCUUUUACUUAUUUAUUUGAGAGAAAGGGAGCAGAAGAGGUGAGAGGGGCAGAGGGAGGGUGAGAGAAACAGACCAUUUGCUGAGAAGGGAGCCCCAAACUAGCCUCAAUUCCAGGUCCUAGACAGCCUGACCUGAGCUGAAGGCAGACUCCUAAAUGACCGAGCAACUCAGGAAUCUCUACCUGAGGUAUUCUUGAGCAGCAUGACGAAUGUACUGAUGGAUUCUCUGUGUCCUUCUAGUUUCAUCCUUGGAUUCAUUCCUCAUAACAAAAUUCAUGGAAAACAUCAGUGAGGAAGAACAAAUCAGUAUCGUCAAGGUGGCCUCAGAACUAGUGACAGCGAUUGGGCGGUGGAAAAUAUUGAGGAUGAAAUUCCUGAAGAGGAAGAAACCUCAGGUCCGGAAGCACAAUGAGGCGGGAAUCAACAGGAGGGAGUCCCUGGUGCAGUUGGAGUAUACCUGCUACUUUGUAGACUGAGAGUGGGCGGGAUGAAAUAAAGAAGAUGAUGUAUAGGAAUGCA
rnacentral:lncRNA from 1 species